CAAGAGUGUGAUGCUCCAGAAGAGAGCUACUGUGCAAUAUGUAGUCUAAGAUGUCUCAGAAUAAUCAGAUAAAAAUAGACCAAUAGCAUUUAGCAACACAGAGAUCAUUGGUGACCAGUGAGAAGAUGUUGUCAGUGUGUGUUGGAAACAGAAGUCAGUAAGGAGUGUGCUGAGAAGUGAGGAGAAGAAUAAAACUGGAUAUGUGAUGACGCCCAAUGGAUACCUGCACUUGUGAAGUCCCUGUCUCAUCGAUCUAAGCGAAGCUAUAUGUGACUUGCUUUGGCCAGUGGCCAUUACCAGAUGAGAUGCCCGCGUACACAGGAAAAGCCCUUUUGAAUUGGGGCUUGGACAUUCUUGCUCUUGAUAACACUGCUGCCAUGUAGAAGCCUGGGUUAGCCCAUCUGAGGACACGACCAUGAAGAGCAGACAUGAGCCUUCCUAGCUGAGGCCACAAGCUGACACACCAGCUGAUUACAGCCACAUGAGUGAACUCAGGCAAGUCAACAAGUGAACUGACAAGGCGGGCUUAGCUGGAAUCAUAGGCAAAUAAAUGAUUGGUCUUUUAAAUCACCAA
rnacentral:lncRNA from 1 species